GAUGAACGCUAGCGGGAGGCCUAACACAUGCAAGCCGAGCGGUAUUGUUUCUUCGGAAAUGAGAGAGCGGCGUACGGGUGCGUAACACGUGUGCAACCUGCCUUUAUCUGGGGGAUAGCCUUUCGAAAGGAAGAUUAAUACUCCAUAAUAUAUUGAACGGCAUCGUUUAAUAUUGAAAGCUCCGGCGGAUAGAGAUGGGCACGCGCAAGAUUAGCUAGUUGGUGAGGUAACGGCUCACCAAGGCGAUGAUCUUUAGGGGGUCUGAGAGGGUGAUCCCCCACACGGGUACUGAGACACGGAACAGACGCCUACGGGAGGCAGCAGUGAGGAAUAUUGGUCAAUGGGUGCAAGCCUGAACCAGCCAGCCCGCGUGAAGGACGACUGCCCUAUGGGUUGUAAACUUCUUUUGUAUAGGGAUAAACCUACCCUCGUGAGGGUAGCUGAAGGUACUAUACGAAUAAGCACCGGCUAACUCCGUGCCAGCCGCCGCAGUAA
rnacentral:rRNA from 1 species